CUUGGAACAUUAUAAAGGUAGACUAAAAUACAUUUCCAUGCAUUUAACCCAGAAAUGUCAAUUACCUCUGAUAGAAGUGGUUGAUUCAAUGAAAAUGCAAUACGUGGACACCUGGAUGUCACCCAUCUGCUUCCAAAAUUAUGGGCAUUGAUAUGAUGUUGGUCGUCCUUUUGCUGAUUUACAGCCUCCGGUCUUCCAAGCCUUUCCACUAAAACAUAGCUGCAGUGGUUUGCACCUGGCUCACAGUCGACGAUGUUCCAAAUCAUCCCAACACUGUUCGAUGGAGUUGAGGUAAAGGCUCUGCAGGCCAGUAAACAAGCGGUUUUUUGCAUGCUGGGAACCUAAUCAAAUUGUUAAAAGGAGCCAUUAAUUUGGAUCCAUGAUUCCCAAACUUUUUUUUUGACCUCAAAGGAAAAAUUAUUUGCAAAUGCUUACAAACAUUAUUCACUAAAAUUUUAUAUCUGCACUGCAGAAACAACAAAUAGUAGUGAGCACAUUUAACAAUUAGGACAGGAAAUACGUAACCUAUUUGAAUGUGCAUUUCACACACAUGUAACAUCAUUUUAGAGGUACUUAGCUUCCAAAGGGGGUUUGCAACUUGGCAGUGAGUGUUGCCAUGGAGGCAAAUUCAAAAACAGAGUAACAACGCCGAGUGCUGUGGCUGCCUCCGGAGAAGGACGUGAGGAUCCCUCAGCUUGCUUCGGCCUGCUUCGUCACAAACUUGUGUGGUUAGUCUCACGACGCCACACCUCCAAUCUCAUCUGGCCUCCUUGGCGGUGUGGAAACUUGCGUAUUUAAAAAAAGUUAGAUUUAGAUUGGAUGUUUAGCGACAUUCUAGGCCUGGUUUAAGAGGCUUGUGAGUGGUAAACACUUAAUUACAGAUUACAUGAAUGAAUCUGAUGAGGGAAGCCUGAUGAGCCUGGCUUGUGUCCUGUCAAGUUACUGAUUCCACUGGUCUUAUGCUCACUUUUGACCUGUUCCCCCCGGGACCUACCCAGCUUUGCAUGUUCUCUUGGAUUAUUCUCGAGAGUCUCCCCUCCUUAUCCAUCAUUGUUCCAAGAUUAGUAAACAAAAAAAACUCUCAUUAAGAAUUGUUUGAAUGUCGUCUCAAUGUCAAGUAAACAUUGGUAAUUGUAACAGAUUGUUUAAAUGAUGGAUGACCACAAAAUGAUCUGUAGGAUUAAAUCAUUUCCCCUCAUCUGUAGAGUAUAAUAAGAUUUUUUGUAGAUCCCUCAAGAUAAGAGGAUUAUAGGUGAG
ensembl:lncRNA